rnacentral:rRNA from 1 species
UACGAGUGCCUCAAGCGUUAUCCGGAAUCAUUGGGCGUAAAGGUUGUGUAGGUGGUUGUAUUAGUCUCUUGUUAAAUUCUUCGGCUUAACCGGGGGCAUGCAAGGGAAACGGUACGACUAGAGGAUGCGAGGGGUCUGCGGAACUCAUAGUGUAGCGGUAAAAUGCGUUGAUAUUAUGGGGAACACCAAAAGCGAAGGCAGCAGACUGGAGCACUCCUGACACUGAAACAAGAAAGCGUGGGUCGCGAAUGGG